GUUCGCUACGUCCUAACUCACAGAGGUCUCUUUCUUCUCCAUUGCUUUUGUCCCAUCGCGAUCUCAACGACGAGCUCCUCCCCCUCUGAAUCGCUGCUUCCUUUUGUUCUCUGUUGCGCUUUGUCGUAUUUGAUUUGCUCUUUGGGCAAUCUAUUUUAGGUUCUUUUCUGGGUUUUUUUGAUUGCUACUUCCACCUCAUCGCCCUCGGAGCAGUAGGCUGAGGCUGUAUUACUACAUGCCUUCGCAAUGCACCUUCUCACCAAUCUUCCUAUGAGGACGGUGUUUGUUUUCGGAAGAGCAUGAUAUCCUUGUCAGGUGUUUGAUUUCUGCGUAUGCAUCUUAAUUUGGGAAGUUUAAUGUAAGAUCUUGAUUAAAGAAGGUUUAAUAUGAAAUUGUUUUCUGUUGGAUUUCAA